UAAGGGUAUUCGAAUUUGUACUUCUCCUCUUUCCAACAAACACACCAGCAGCUGCCAGAAACAGGAUCUCUUUCAUUCACAAGGACAAAGAGAUCAUAACAAACUCAUCAACGAAAGAAUGCUCGAUUGUUACAUGUCCCCCCAAACAAUGUGGGAAGGGAUGAAAGCUCCCCAACAAGUACAAAGCGACUCAGAAGCUAUGCAUCAGGAGAGGAUUAAGGUCGGCCCUUUUUGUGUUCCCAAUAAUGUUGUGGACGAACCUGACUUACAGUUGAUACAAUAUGUUUUUGAGCGUUUAAGUGAUAGAUGUAUAAUUUUUUCGUCACAUCGAGGUACACAUCUGUGUCAA